rnacentral:rRNA from 1 species
UACAGAGGUGGCAAGCGUUGUUCGGAAUCACUGGGCGUAAAGGGAGCGUAGGCGGCGUGGUAAGUCAGAUGUGAAAUCCCGGGGCUCAACCCCGGAACUGCAUCCGAUACUGCCGUGCUAGAGGAUUGGAGAGGUAGCUGGAAUUCACGGUGUAGCAGUGAAAUGCGUGGAUAUCGUGAGGAACACUCGUGGCGAAAGCGAGCUACUGGACAACUCCUGACGCUGAGGCUCGAAGGCCAGGGUAGCGAAAGGG